GAUGAACGCUAGCUACAGGCUUAACACAUGCAAGUCGAGGGACCGGCGCACGGGUGAGUAACACGUAUCCAACCUGCCCUUUACUCGGGGAUAGCCUUUCGAAAGAAAGAUUAAUACCCGAUAUAAAGGAUGGGGAUGCGUUCCAUUAGGUUGUUGGUGAGGUAACGGCUCACCAAGCCUUCGAUGGAUAGGGGUUCUGUGAGGAAGGAACCCGACAUUGGAACUGAGGCACGGUCCAAACUCCUACGGGAGGCAGGAGUGAGGGAUAUAGGUGAAUGGGCGCUAGCGUGAACCAGCCAAGUAGCGUGAAGGAUGAAGGGGUAGGGGUGGUAAACUACUUUUAUAUAAGAAUAGGUAUUAUAUGAAUAAGGAUCGGCUAACUCCGUGCCAGCCGCCGCGGUAAUUC
rnacentral:rRNA from 1 species